rnacentral:rRNA from 1 species
AUUGAACGCUGGCGGCAGGCCUAACACAUGCAAGUCGAGCGAAAGAGUGUGCUUGCACACUCGAAAGCGGCGGACGGGUGAGUAAUGCGUGGGAAUCUGCCUGUAGAUGGGGGAUAGCCCGGAGAAAUCCGGAUUAAUACCGCAUAAUACCUGAGGGUUAAAGUGGAGGAUCGCAAGACUUCACGUCUACAGAUGAGCCCACGUCAGAUUAGCUAGUUGGUAGGGUAAAGGCCUACCAAGGCGACGAUCUGUAGCUGGCCUGAGAGGGUGGCCAGCCACACUGGAACUGAGACACGGUCCAGACUCCUACGGGAGGCAGCAGUGGGGAAUAUUGGACAAUGGGCGCAAGCCUGAUCCAGCCAUGCCGCGUGUGAAGAAGGCCUUCGGGUUGUAAAGCACUUUAAGUUGGGAGGAAGGUUCGAUGGCUAAUAUCCAUCGGAAUUGACGUUACCAACAGAAUAAGCACCGGCUAAUUCCGUGCCAGCCGCCGCGGUAACAC